rnacentral:lncRNA from 1 species
UGUCGGGGAAGAGCAUGAGGAGCAGAGUAGCAAUGAAAAUGCAGAAUGAGUCAAGCAAAACCCUAAGGGAGAUUCGGAGGUCAAAGAAGUUGAAAUUGAAGCUGAUGACUGAUGAAGAACGGUUAAUUUAUAAUCUCCGAAGAGUAGGUCCAAAUGUUCUUUAAUUAUUCAUUGCAAUGAUGAAGAACGGUUAAUUUAUAAUCUCCGUAGAGCAAAGAAAAAAGUUGCUUUGCUACUUCAGAAGCUGAAGAAAUAUGAGCUACCAGAGUUGCCAUCUCCACGGCAUGAUCCUGAGCUUCUCACUCCUGAGCAACUG